rnacentral:rRNA from 1 species
CCUACGGGGGGCAGCAGUGGGGAAUAUUGCACAAUGGGGGAAACCCUGAUGCAGCGACGCCGCGUGAGUGAAGCAGUAUUUCGGUAUGUAAAGCUCUAUCAGCAGGGAAGAAAAUGACGGUACCUGAUUAAGAAGCCCCGGCUAACUACGUGCCAGCAGCCGCGGUAAUACGUAGGGGGCAAGCGUUAUCCGGAUUUACUGGGUGGAAAGGGAGCGUAGACGGCAACACAAGGCUGGAGGGAAAUGCCGGGGCUUAACCCCGGAACUGCUUGGGAAACUGUGCAGCUAGAGUGCAGGAGAGGUAAGCGGAAUUCCUAGUGUAGCGGUGAAAUGCGUAGAUAUUAGGAGGAACACCAGUGGCGAAGGCGGCUUACUGGACUGUAACUGACGUUGAGGCUCGAAAGCGUGGGGAGCAAACAGGAUUAGAUACCCGUGUAGUC